GUCAGUCAGGACAGCAAUCUUUGGUGCACUACAGCUACAUUCAUGGUCCACGAUAAAUCAACCUUUUACUGUUGUCCCGUGUGUAAUAUGUCUUGGAUUUGUAAAUACACGACCAGUUUAUAAAUGUUUUCAAUCCAUAACUGAUAGCUUAAUGGUUUUGUCAAAUUAAAACAAGAACAGAAGGCGCUGAAAUAUCCAUCCGUCACCUUUUGGUACAACAUGAUCACACAGUGAAUCGUCCAUAUCACUACUGAAAUGUCUCUGCCAAAGAUCAGUCUCCCCUCAGUGAGGCUGCUGAGCUCCAUCCACCACCACCAGCAGCAGCUGCUCCUCCCCUCCACCUCCCCUCUCACUGGGCCCAAAAGAGCUGUGAGUCAGGGUGAAUACAGACGACCCGGCCAGCCCAAAGUAGACAAGUUUCCAUGGCAGCCGAUUAACUUUGGCUUCUCAAAGGGUUUUGACGGGGUAAAGAAGCAUUUGGCACUCCUGAAGAAGGAGUUUUCUGACCGCUGGGUUGGUCCACAAGGCAAACCGAUCCUCGAGCACAUGUUGGAGCAGAACCAAGUGCUGUGGGAGUUCAGAGGUCCGGAGAGCCUGGAGCAGUGGACGGUGUCCUCCGAUCAAGAGAUAGGAGGCCAAAGUGAAGUUCACUUGAAGCUUGGCAAAAACCAGAACACCUGUUUACUGUACGGGACUCUGAGCUCUACUCCUCCAAGGGAUGGAGAAACCCGCUACAGUGGCUACUGCACCAUGCGCUCCAAGCAACCACUGGCUUCAUUCGAUAGAAAAAAGCACUACGAUUGGUCCAGUUUCAACACCCUGCAUUUGCGAGUGCGUGGUGAUGGCCGUCCGUGGAUGAUCAACAUCGCCACAGAAACCUACUUCUCUCACCAGAAAGAUGACAUAUACAAUUAUUUCCUGUAUACUAGGGGAGGACCUUACUGGCAGGAUGUCAAGAUACCCUUCUCCAAGUUCUUCAUCACACAUCGUGGGAGGAUACAAGACGACCAGCAUCCUCUCUGGCUGGACAAGGUUAACACCAUUGGAUUUACCUUGGGAGAUAAAGCAGACGGUCCGUUCCAGCUGGAGAUUGAUUUUGUUGGCGUCUGCAAAGAUUAUGCACACACGGAGGAGUUUGCUUACGAGGUGUACAAGAGGAAUCCUGAAAUUUGAAAGCAAGUACUACAAUACUGCAGAUGCACUGUUAUUGAAUAAUGGUGGCGGCGUAACUACCAACAAAUGUACCACCUUCUUGAGGUGGACAAUAUAUUACACCCCAUCCAUCAUUGCUGGUAACACUUAUUUUAAGACACGGUAUAUUUGGAUUCUAGCAAAUUAACUGACACUUCAGUAACAGUGGAGCAGUAUGUAUGUGGUUAUAAAAUAAGCCAAUUCAGGACUUGUUAGGAGAUAAAACAAUUGUAGCUGUUAACAUUUACAACUUUUCCAUUCCAGGACAUUGAGACCAUCUUCCUGCUCUUUCACAACAAUAUUGAGUUUAUUGUGUUCCAAGUCCUGUAUGUGACCCAUUUAAAUCCAACAGAUCAUGUCAAACAACCAGAUCUUAAUAAAAAUAUUUCUGUGAAUUCUCACUUUUUUUUUUGCAGGACAAAUUUAAUUUUAAAAUCGUGAUAUCGUGCAUACAAAAUGUUAAAAGACUACAAUAGCAAACUUUUGUAUCAAUGUCUUUAUCAUUUUCCCAACGAGUAAAAAACAAAGCAUAUCAAAUUUUUAAGAACAAAAUUACCAGUUUCAGCAAACGCAGCAAAACAGAACAUCAAUUCUUUACACAUUCAAACACAAAGCAUCAUUUAGAGCUGCAAGGGCUUACAUCUACGCCAUGAGUCAAAUCUAAGAAACACUGUGCAGUAGGUUGUAUAGAAGCAGAAAAUAGGAGCUUCCUAAUAGUAGGCUAAAAGAGACUGCAGAAAUCAAAGAGUCCACUGCAGACGACAAAAUAUUUACACUGAAAAAAAGAA